CUCCGAGCUGGGAGCAGCCCUUGGGAUAACGCUGCUCUGUCCCUGGACGUCUGUCCUAAGCCAGGACAGCAUCCCAUGGCCCCGAGGGAAGGCAAGCUCGGCAACCCCGGGUGGGAUUUACAGCAGCUGGAAGAAGAGAUUUCAGAGGGACCAGCCCAGCUCUGAGAGGGAAAAAGGAGAAAUCCUGGGAGGAAUGGCUGUGAGCGAGCCGGGAUAUGGGUGAGCCCAUUCCAGACGCCCUCAGCAGGAUAAUCCCGAUGGGCUCCUCUGCAAUUCCCAUCCCUCCAUCCCAUGGAGAAGCUGAGCUGCCACUCCUGGAGGUCACAGGUGGCACUUGGGGACUCUGCCUCUUCCUCCACCUCCAGCACCGAAGCCUCGGGAGGCGCCAGCAUUUCCCAAUUCUGUGAUUUUUGGACUUUUCUCAUAUUCCAGAGGAGCCCAUGACUUGCUGUGCAAGUCACCCUUGCUCCUCUCUCGAGUAGGGAAGAAUGUUUCCUCUUUUUUGAGCAGGUCAUUGCUCUCCUCCCCUUCUCCCUGAGGGACUGCAGCCAUCCCAUGGCAUAGAAAGUUGUUCUGAGGGAAUGAAUGUGAGCUGGAUCCUCCUGCUGGGAGGGCUUGGCUGUUCUCAACCUCUGUGAGGUUGUCCCUGUACCUCUGCUGGGAAAGCUGUAACCCUGGGAUGGCCAGAAUUCCCAAUUUUCCUCUUUCCUUUUCCUCCCAGGGAAUCCACGCCUGGAAUGUGUCUCACAGGACACAUUGGAGAAUCUGGCCUUCCCACGGUACCACGAGGGGUUCUAUAAUAUUUAUAAUAUUUAUAAUCGAUAAUAUGUAUAAUCUAUAAUAUUUAUAGUGUGUACUGAGCAUGCUCUGAGGAUGGUUAAACCAUAUCCCAAAACUGUGUAGAGGAAAUUCCUCGGGAUGUCUUGCUCACGAGCCAGGGCUGUUUGUGAGGUUCAGGAUGCGUGUGUGCCUUUUGUAAAGGCAGGAGCUCGUUUUUGUGUCCUUAUAGGACUGGAAGUUACAGCUGUGCUGCCCAUUGUAAAAGAAAUAUUUAUUUAAGUCUUUCAUGAAAGGCAGGUGUAUAAAUUAUAUUUAAUUUUUGGUACCCUUUUGCAGGGGAAAGUGGGAAUUUGUUACUGUCCUUGGAGGAUGUUAUGUUGUGUUCUGUGCAAACUGCACCAAUGUAUGACCUGUGCCAGAGUUGUCUUGAACAUCAGAAGUUGCAGAGACUUUUAAAGGUCAAAAAUAAAUAAAAAUCUGCUUAAUCA
ensembl:lncRNA